rnacentral:rRNA from 1 species
UGGGGAAUAUUGCACAAUGGGCGCAAGCCUGAUGCAGCCAUGCCGCGUGUGUGAAGAAGGCCUUCGGGUUGUAAAGCACUUUCAGCGGGGAGGAAGGCGAUAAGGUUAAUAACCUUGUCGAUUGACGUUACCCGCAGAAGAAGCACCGGCUAACUCCGUGCCAGCAGCCGCGGUAAUACGGAGGGUGCAAGCGUUAAUCGGAAUUACUGGGCGUAAAGCGCACGCAGGCGGUCUGUCAAGUCGAAUGUGAAAUCCCCGGGCUCAACCUGGGAGUUGCAUUCGAACCUGCCAGGCUAGAGUCUGUUGGAGGGGGGUAGAAUUCCAGGUGUAGCGGUGAAAUGCGUAGAGAUCUGGAGGAAUACCGGUGGCGAAGGCGGCCCCCUGGACAAAGACUGACGCUCAGGUGCGAAAGCGUGGGGAGCAAACAGG